rnacentral:rRNA from 1 species
GUGCCAGCAGCCGCGGUAAUACCGGCAGCCCAAGUGAUGGCCACUCUUAUUGGGCCUAAAGCGUCCGUAGCCGGCCUCGCAAGUCCGUCGGGAAAUCCAGUAGCCCAACUACUGAGCGUCCGGCGGAAACUCCGAGGCUUGGGACCGGAAGGCUCGAAGGGUACGUUCGGGGUAGGAGUGAAAUCCCAUAAUCCCGCACGGACCACCGAUGGCGAAAGCACUUCGAGAAAACGGAUCCGACAGUGAGGGACGAAAGCCAGGGUCUCCAACCGGAUUAGAAACCCUAGUAGUCC